CCUACGGGGUGCAGCAGUGAGGAAUAUUGGUCAAUGGACGAGAGUCUGAACCAGCCAAGUAGCGUGAAGGAUGAUUGCCCUAUGGGUUGUAAACUUCUUUUAUAUGGGAAUAAAAUGUUCCACGUGUGGGAUUUUGUAUGUACCAUAUGAAUAAGGAUCGGCUAACUCCGUGCCAGCAGCCGCGGUAAUACGGAGGAUCCGAGCGUUAUCCGGAUUUAUUGGGUUUAAAGGGAGCGUAGGUGGAUUGUUAAGUCAGUUGUGAAAGUUUGCGGCUCAACCGUAAAAUUGCAGUUGAAACUGGCAGUCGUGAGUACAGUAGAGGUGGGCGGAAUUCGUGGUGUAGCGGUGAAAUGCUUAGAUAUCACGAAGAACUCCGAUUGCGAAGGCAGCUCACUGGACUGCAACUGACACUGAGGCUCGAAAGUGUGGGUAUCAAACAGGAUUAGAUACCCCUGUAGUC
rnacentral:rRNA from 1 species